UACGUAGGUGGCAAGCGUUGUUCGGAAUUACUGGGCGUAAAGGGCUCGUAGGUGGCCAACUAAGUCAGACGUGAAAUCCCUCGGCUUAACCUGGGAACUGCGUUUGAUACGGAUGGGCUAGAGUUCGGGAGAGGAGCGUGGAAUUCCCAGUGUAGAGGUGAAAUUCGUAGAUAUUGGGAAGAACACCGGUGGCGAAGGCGGCGCUCUGGACCGAGACUGACGCUGAGGCGCGAAAGCGUGGGGAGCAAACAGG
rnacentral:rRNA from 1 species